UACGUAGGGUGCAAGCGUUAAUCGGAAUUACUGGGCGUAAAGCGUGCGUAGGCGGCUAUGUAAGACAGAUGUGAAAUCCCUGGGCUUAACCUAGGAACUGCAUUUGUGACUGCAUUGCUAGAGUGCGGUAGAGGGAGAUGGAAUUCCGCAUGUAGCAGUGAAAUGCGUAGAUAUGCGGAGGAACACCAAUGGCGAAGGCAAUCUCCUGGACCUGCACUGACGCUCAUGCACGAAAGCGUGGGGAGCAAACAGG
rnacentral:rRNA from 1 species